rnacentral:rRNA from 1 species
GCCAGCAGCCGCGGUAAUACAGAGGGCCCGAGCGUUAAUCGGAAUCACUGGGCUUAAAGAGUGCGUAGGCGGACGUGUAGGUACUUUGUGAAAUCCCUCGGCUCAACCGGGGAAUUGCUUGGUAAACCAUACGUCUUGAGGCAGGUAGGGGUGGUCGGAACGCUAGGUGGAGCGGUGGAAUGCGUAGAUAUCUAGCGGAACGCCAAUGGAGAAGUCAGGCCACUGGGCCUGUCCUGACGCUGAGGCACGAAAGCGUGGGUAGCGAACGGGAUUAGAUACCCCGGUAGUCCACGCCGUAAACGAUGCGAACUAGAUCGAGGAGGUUUGACGCCCUCUUGGUCGAAGCAAAAGUGUUAAGUUCGCCGCCUGGGGAGUACGGUCGCAAGGCUAAAACUCAAAGGAAUUGACGGGGGCUCACACAAACGGUGGAGCAUGUGGCUUAAUUCGAAGCAACGCGAAGAACCUUAUCCAGGGUUUGACAUGUAUGGAUUAACUCCGUGAAAGCGGAGCCACACCUUCGGGUGGAACAUACACAGGUGCUGCAUGGCUGUCGUCAGCUCGUGCUGUGAAGUGUCGGGUUAAGUCCCUCAACGAGCGCAACCCUUGUCGUUAGUUGCUAGCAGGUAAUGCUGAGGACUCUAGCGAGACUGCCGGUGUUAAACCGGACGAUGGUGGGGGAUGC